AUACGUAGGUGGCAAGCGUUGUCCGGAAUUAUUGGGCGUAAAGCGCGCGCAGGCGGUCUUUUAAGUCUGAUGUGAAAGCCCCCGGCUCAACCGGGGAGGGUCAUUGGAAACUGGGAGACUUGAGUACAGAAGAGAAGAGUGGAAUUCCACGUGUAGCGGUGAAAUGCGUAGAGAUGUGGAGGAACACCAGUGGCGAAGGCGACUCUUUGGUCUGUAACUGACGCUGAGGCGCGAAAGCGUGGGGAGCGAACAGGAUUAGAUACCCUGGUAGUCCACGCCGUAAACGAUGAGUGCUAAGUGUCAGAGGGUUUCCGCCCUUUAGUGCUGCAGCAAACGCAUUAAGCACUCCGCCUGGGGAGUACGGCCGCAAGGCUGAA
rnacentral:rRNA from 1 species